GAGUUUGAUCCUGGCUCAGGAUGAACGCUAGCGGCAGGCUUAACACAUGCAAGUCGAGGGGUAACGGGGAAGCUUGCUUCCGCCGACGACCGGCGCACGGGUGCGUAACGCGUAUACAAUCUACCUUGUACUGGGGUAUAGCCUUUAGAAAUGAAGAUUAAUCCCCCAUAGUCUCUUAGAGUGGCAUCACUUCUAGAGUAAAGGUUACGGUAUAAGAUGAGUAUGCGUUCUAUUAGUUUGUUGGUGUGGUAACGGCACACCAAGACUACGAUAGAUAGGGGCCCUGAGAGGGGGAUCCCCCACACUGGUACUGAGACACGGACCAGACUCCUACGGGAGGCAGCAGUGAGGAAUAUUGGACAAUGGAGGCAACUCUGAUCCAGCCAUGCCGCGUGCAGGAAGACUGCCCUAUGGGUUGUAAACUGCUUUUAUACAGGAAGAAACACCUCUACGUGUAGAGGCUUGACGGUACUGUAAGAAUAAGGAUCGGCUAACUCCGUGCCAGCAGCCGCGGUAAUACGGAGGAUCCAAGCGUUAUCCGGAAUCAUUGGGUUUAAAGGGUCCGUAGGUGGAUAAUUAAGUCAGAGGUGAAAUCCUGCAGCUCAACUGUAAAAUUGCCUUUGAAACUGGUUAUCUUGAGUUAUUAUGAAGUAGUUAGAAUAUGUAGUGUAGCGGUGAAAUGCAUAGAUAUUACAUAGAAUACCAAUUGCGAAGGCAGAUUACUAAUAAUCAACUGACACUGAUGGACGAAAGCGUGGGUAGCGAACAGGAUUAGAUACCCUGGUAGUCCACGCCGUAAACGAUGGUUACUAGCUGUUUGGACUUCGGUCUGAGUGGCUAAGCGAAAGUGAUAAGUAACCCACCUGGGGAGUACGUUCGCAAGAAUGAAACUCAAAGGAAUUGACGGGGGCCCGCACAAGCGGUGGAGCAUGUGGUUUAAUUCGAUGAUACGCGAGGAACCUUACCAGGGCUUAAAUGUAAGUUGCAUUAGUUAGAGAUAGCUAUUUCUUCGGACCACUUACGAGGUGCUGCAUGGUUGUCGUCAGCUCGUGCCGUGAGGUGUCAGGUUAAGUCCUAUAACGAGCGCAACCCCUGUUGUUAGUUGCCAGCGAGCCAUGUCGGGAACUCUAACAAGACUGCCAGUGCAAACUGUGAGGAAGGUGGGGAUGACGUCAAAUCAUCACGGCCCUUACGUCCUGGGCUACACACGUGCUACAAUGGUAGGUACAGAGAGCAGCCACUGCGCGAGCAGGAGCGAAUCUAUAAAACCUAUCACAGUUCGGAUCGGAGUCUGCAACUCGACUCCGUGAAGCUGGAAUCGCUAGUAAUCGGAUAUCAGCCAUGAUCCGGUGAAUACGUUCCCGGGCCUUGUACUCACCGCCCGUC
rnacentral:rRNA from 1 species